UACGAAGGGGGCUAGCGUUGUUCGGAAUUACUGGGCGUAAAGGGCGCGUAGGCGGUGUGUCAAGUCAGGCGUGAAAGCCCCGGGCUCAACCUGGGAACCGCGCUUGAGACUGGCACGCUAGAGUUCGGGAGAGGAUGGUGGAAUUCCCAGUGUAGAGGUGAAAUUCGUAGAUAUUGGGAAGAACACCGAUGGCGAAGGCAGCCAUCUGGACCGACACUGACGCUGAGGCGCGGAAAGCGUGGGGAGCAAACAGG
rnacentral:rRNA from 1 species